rnacentral:rRNA from 1 species
CCUACGGGAGGCAGCAGUAGGGAAUCUUGCUCAAUGGGGGAAACCCUGAAGCAGCAACGCCGCGUGAGGGAUGAAGGUUUUCGGAUUUUAAACCCCUUUUGUUAGAGAAGAAAAUGACGGUAACUAACGAACAAGCACCGGAUAACUCCGUGCCAGCAGCCGCGUUAACACGGAGGGGGCAAGCGUUCCCCGGAUUCACUGGGCGAAACGAUCGCGUAGGCGGGUUAGUAAGUCUGAUGUGAAGUCCUCUGGCUGAACCCGAGAACUGCAUUUGAAACUGUGACUCUAGAGUAUGGGAGAGGUAGGUGGAAUUCUAGGUGUAGCGGUAAAAUGCGUAGAGAUCUAGAGGAAUACUCGUUGCGAAGGCGACCUGCUGGAACAUAACUGACGCUGAUGCGCGAAAGCGUGGGGAGCAAACAGGAUUAGAUACCCGGGUAGUC